rnacentral:rRNA from 1 species
GACGUAGGGCGCGAGCGUUGUCCGGAUUUAUUGGGCGUAAAGAGCUCGUAGGCGGCUUGUCGCGUCGACUGUGAAAACCCGUGGCUCAACUGCGGGCCUGCAGUCGAUACGGGCAGGCUAGAGUUCGGUAGGGGAGACUGGAAUUCCUGUGUAGCGGUGAAUGCGCAGAUAUCAGGAGGAACACCGGUGGCGAAGGCGGGUCUCUGGGCAGUAACUGACGCUGAGGAGCGAAAGCGUGGGAGCAAACAGG